UCGCAAACAAAUUUAUUAGUGAAAUUUUCUACAAUAAUGAAAAACCCAUCACAGUGCUGACAAAGUGCACCAAUAGAUAAGAUUUUGCAAUGUUCACUCACCUGUCAUUAACAUUAAAAUAAUAAAUUUUGGACCUCCUGAAGUAUGCGCACCAAGAUGGCGCACAACCUGAACUCAGGCUGUGUACCAGGUUAGGGUUCAGGUUGUGCGACAUCUAGGUGCACAUACUUUAGGAGAACCUAAAUAUUUCUUAAGCACCACCAGUCUUGAUUGGAAAUAUGACAUUACAUAAAUAAGCUGAUUAAGGACUGUUCUGAGUUUUAAAUAGGCUUUAAUGAUAUGUUUUGGUUUGGAAUAGAUAAAAAAGACUUGGUAAACAAAAUGAAAUGGUUAGUACUGUCCUAUGAAGUGGGGUUCAUAAUAUCUUUUGGGGAAUUGUUGUAUGUUCUGGGUUAGGUUAGAUUUCAAACUUUAGGCAAAUGGAUAGAGUAAACAUAGUCUUUCAUUUCAGAUUUAAAAAUACAAUUAAAAAAAUAAUUUGUUCAUCAAUCUCCCUUGAGUAGGACCAAAACAUCAAAAGUAGAAAUUCAUUCAAAAAAGGACUGGGUAACUCAAAAGGAUUAGGAACUAAUACAGCACCAGCAAGUCAUAUGUAUAAAAAUAUGAUUAAUAACAGCACCAGAUUCAAUGGGGCUCAAAAAAUUUUACCCCAGAAAUAUAGGUCUAAAAAAUGAGAUGAGUGAAAAAGAAAUUACACUCAGACAUGCAUGCAUGCAAAAUUGUUUUUGUGGCAAAGGUACAAGCAAAGAAGAGAAGUAUAACAAGUAAUGGUAAAAGAAUGUCGCUUCUGAAUCAAAAAGGACUAUGCAAUGGCAGUGAACAAAUACAGACAUACAUAUAACACAACAGAGGCAAAGUCCAUUUAAGUGAGUACCAGAGUUGUGAAGACUAUAGUCUAUGGUUGACUGGCUUAAGCCUUAACACAAUAGAGCAGUGGUACGACUGUUAUUUAAAAGUACCAAAUCUGACAGUGUCGGUAGACAUGGGCCAAGUCAUUGACUCUACAAUUACUUGGGCUCUCAAAACAAAAUUAGAUCGAAUGAUCGUAGGGGAUGAUUGGGUGAUAGAAUGAAACUUGUGAAAGUGUGGUUCUGGUUCUGGAAUUCGAGCCUUAUCUUAUCUUUGAAAAGUUUUGAUUUUUUAUAUGAAAAAUUCAUAGUUCAUGCAAAUUUCACAAUUUUUUUCUACUGGGGAAAGACCCCUCCCUAUUUUGAGUCUCUGUAUUCCAGCAAAUAUAUGCAGAUAUACACUUUAUGGGGUAAGUCCCCUCCCUACUUUGAGUCUGUGUUCCAGCAAAUAUACAUUAUACAGUUUUCUUCCUCUCUGGGAAAACCCCCUCCCCACUUUAAAUCUCCAUUUUAGCAAAUAAAAGUAAAUACACACUGAAAAAUUUCUACUGGGAAAGUCCCCUCCCUACUCCACAGGGCCUGUACAUCAAAAAAUACAAAUUAAUACACUAUAUACUGCAAUUAAUCUAAAUAAAGUGCAAAGCUAUGCAAAAUCAACUAAAGUCAUGUAAAUGCCUAAAAAGUAUAAGCUGCAGGUU